rnacentral:rRNA from 1 species
GACGGGACCGCACAGCGGUGGAUGAUGUGGAUAAUCGAUGCAACGCGAAAACCUUACCUACGCUUCGACAUGUCAGGAACCUCGAAGAGAUUUGAGGGUGCCCGAAAGGGAACCCUGAACACAGGUGCUGCAUGGCUGUCGUCAGCUCGUGUCGUGAGAUGUUGGGUUAAGUCCCGCAACGAGCGCAACCCUUAUCAUUAGUUGCUACGCAAGGGCACUCUAAUGAGACUGCCGGUGACAAACCGGAGGAAGGUGGGGAUGACGUCAAGUCCUCAUGGCCCUUAUGCGUAGGGCUUCACACGUCAUACAAUGGUCGGUACAGAGGGUUGCCAACCCGCGAGGGGGAGCCAAUCCCACAAAGCCGAUCGUAGUCCGGAUUGCAGUCUGCAACUCGACUGCAUGAAGUCGGAAUCGCUAGUAAUCGCGGAUCAGCAUGUCGCGGUGAAUACGUUCCCGGGUCUU